UACGUAGGGUGCGAGCGUUAAUCGGAAUUACUGGGCGUAAAGCGUGCGUAGGCGGUCCGCAAAGUCUGAUGUGAAAGCCCCGGGCUCAACCUGGGAACUGCAUUGGAAACUAACGGGCUCGAGUGUGGCAGAGGGGGAUGGAAUUCCGCGUGUAGCAGUGAAAUGCGUAGAUAUGCGGAGGAACACCGAUGGCGAAGGCAAUCCCCUGGGCCUGCACUGACGCUCAUGCACGAAAGCGUGGGGAGCAAACAGG
rnacentral:rRNA from 1 species